ensembl:lncRNA
GGGGCUCUAUUGGGUCUUUAUGGGGUCCUAUGGGGUCUUAUGGGGUCCUUAUGGGGGCUUAAAGGGGUCCUAUGGGGCUCUAUGGGGUCCUUAUGGGGUCCUUAUGGGGCCCUAUGGGGCUCUAUGGGGCCCUUAUGGGGUCCUAUGGGGUCUUUAUGGGGUCCUAUGGGGUCCUUAUGAGGCUCUAUGGGGUCCUAUGGGGUUCUAUGGGGGCUUCAAGUGGUCUUUAUGGGGUCUUUAUGGGGUCCUAUGGGGUCCUUAUGGGGCCCUAUGGGGUCUUUAUAGGGUCCUAUGGGGCUCUAUGGGGUCCUUAUGGGGGCUUAAAAGGGUCUUAUGGGGUUCUAUGGGGUCCUUAUGGGGUCCUUUGGGGGCUUAAAUGAGUCCUAUGGGACUCUAUGAGGUCUUUAUGGGGUCCUAUGGGGGUUUAAAGGGGUCCUAUAGGGUCCUUAUGGGGUCCUUAUGGGGAUCUAUGGGGGCUUUAUGGGGUCCUAUGGGGGCUUAAAGGGGUUCUAUGGGGUCCUAUGGGGUCUUAUGGGGGCUUUAUGGGGUCCUAUGGGGGCUUAAAGGGGUCCUAUGGGGCUCUAUGGGGUCCUUAUGGGGUCCUUAUGGGGCCCUAUGGGGCUCUAUGGGGUCCUUAUGAGGAUCUAUGGGGGCUUAAAGUGGUCUUUAUGGGGUCCUAUGGGGUCCUUAUGGGGUUAUAUGGGGUCCAAUGGGGUCCUAUGGGGCUCUAUGAGGUCUUAUGGGGCUCUAUGGGGUCCUUAUGGGGUCCCUAUGGGGUCUUUAUGGGGUCCCCAUGGGGUUUUAUGGGGUCUUAUGGGGUCCCUAUGGGGUCCUAUGGGGGCUUAAAGGGGUUCUAUGGGGUCCUCAUAAGGCUCUAUGGGGUCCUAUGGGUUCUAUGGGGCCUCAAAGGGUCCUAUGGGGUCUUUAUGGGGUCCUAUGGGGCAAUAUGCGGUCCUAUGGGGUCCUUAUGGGGUCCUAUGGGGCUCUAUGGGGUCCUAUGGGGUCCUUAUGGG